rnacentral:snoRNA from 21 species
GGCAGGAUCAGCCCCAGAGCCGGCCGGACGGCCGCCUGUGAUAGGGGCCCCGGUCAAAACCUCUG